CUCUGCUCAUCUCACUUUCCUUUUGAAUACAGAUUACCACUAAUGCUUUAAAGAUGAUCUGAAUCUCCUGAACCUCAACAUCCUGAAAAUAUGAGCCCUCCAACUGUAAGGAUGAAAGUUAAGAGAAGAAAAACAAUUGUGAAAAUGAUGAAGACAAAGAUGAUAACGAGACCAUGAACAGUGAGCGAUCGUGUGUGUGUAGGAGGUGCUGGCUGACUGCAUGUCCUCGUUUAAGUUAACCGAGCUGCAGAGAGAGCACACUCAGGAAAAGCUGAGGUUUGAUGCAGAUGGGAACAGACACCUGGCUCUCUGGAGAGGCCAGCAGCAGGACUGGAGCCAUGGCCAGUUAUGGAUAUGAGUGCAUGUUUGGAUAAACUUUGUCCAACAUUACAGCCUGUUCAUCAACUAUCUGUGUUUCAUUGAUUACGGAAGUACAUUAUUUUAUACUUGUAAUAAAAAGAAGCUGUUUCACAUUUAGGUUUUGCUUUUAAGGGACAAUAACAAAAAAGCAAAAUGACACUGAGACUGUAAAAUCAGGAUGGGUCAGCGUCAGGCAAUUACCAUAAAAGGAUUACCCAAGUUCAA